rnacentral:rRNA from 1 species
GUGCCAGCCGCCGCGGUAAUACGUAGGUGGCAAGCGUUAUCCGGAAUUAUUGGGCGUAAAGCGCGCGUAGGCGGUUUUUUAAGUCUGAUGUGAAAGCCCACGGCUCAACCGUGGAGGGUCAUUGGAAACUGGAAAACUUGAGUGCAGAAGAGGAAAGUGGAAUUCCAUGUGUAGCGGUGAAAUGCGCAGAGAUAUGGAGGAACACCAGCGGCGAAGGCGACUUUCUNGGUCUGUAACUGACGCUGAUGUGCGAAAGCGUGGGGAUCA